rnacentral:rRNA from 1 species
GAUGAACGCUGGCGGCGUGGAUAAGGCAUGCAAGUCGAACGGCAGCACAGGAGAGCUUGCUCUCUGGGUGGCGAGUGGCGGACGGGUGAGGAAUACAUCGGAAUCUACUCUGUCGUGGGGGAUAACGUAGGGAAACUUACGCUAAUACCGCAUACGACCUACGGGUGAAAGCAGGGGACCUUCGGGCCUUGCGCGAUUGAAUGAGCCGAUGUCGGAUUAGCUAGUUGGCGGGGUAAAGGCCCACCAAGGCGACGAUCCGUAGCCGGUCUGAGAGGAUGAUCAGCCACACUGGAACUGAGACACGGUCCAGACUCCUACGGGAGGCAGCAGUGGGGAAUAUUGGACAAUGGGCGCAAGCCUGAUCCAGUCAUACCGCGUGGGUGAAGAAGGCCUUCGGGUUGUAAAGCCCUUUUGUUGGGAAAGAAAUCCAGCUGGCUAAUACCCGGUUGGGAUGACGGUACCCAAAGAAUAAGCACCGGCUAACUUCGUGCCAGCAGCCGCCGUAA